AUGCUCUGGCUUGUUCCGGCCACUGUGCUCGUCUCCUACCUCCUCGUCUCGACCUCCAUUCAUGUCUAGUAGCUGCCCCGUGAGCUCCUGUGUCGCCCUGUGCCUCUGCCUCAUCGUCGUUCGCCUUAAAUGCGUCGCUAGCGCGAAUGCCCGUGCCGCGUCCAGCCUCUGCCCGUCAUUAAAGCUCGGUCGGAAGCUCACUCGUGAGCUCUAGAGCCCUCCCCGUGGCUAUAUAUAGCAUGCCCGAACCCCUCCGCGGCUCAUUCACUCCUCCCCCGCCUCUUUUACCCACCGUAGCAGCUCUCCUCGCUGUUUUCUUCUUCGGCCAUCGCGGCCACCACCGGAGUUCGUCUCGGUUCCGGCCACCACAGCCCCCUCUCCUCCUACCAAGCCCUCCAAUGUCUUCCUCUCUUUCCCGCGGUUCGCCCCACCCCACUGGUUCGUCUCCGGAGAGCCCCAUGGCAGCGUCCCCCGAGUCCGGCCGCCGCCUUCUCCUCUCGGCCUCAUCCUUGAUUCCGGCCGUCCACGCCUCCCCUCCACCCCCUGACUCCACCAACGCCUCCUACACCCUCCGGUGAACCCUCCCAAGCUCUCACUCGCCUCCCCGUCGCCGGAGCACCUCGCCCCCAAGAAAAUGGCCGCCGGAGCCACCUCUGUUCUCCCCUUCGUCGUGGUCGCUCUGCUCCUCUCCGACGUCUCCUCUGCGCGGGGAUGGAUGCAGCAGGCCAGGCCGAGCCCGCUGGUGGUCUCACCUUAGCCGGAGACGGCCAGAGCCACCGAGGCCCUCAUCGCCCGCACCCGAACAGAGCCAUCCCCACCGCCUUGUCCUGUUUCCCCCGCGUUCGGUCUAUCCCUCCCCUGGCCGCGGCACUCGCCAGCACGCCCGGCUGGCCCCUCGCCGACCGGAGUCGAUCGCCGGAGCAUCCGCUCCCGUCGCCGGCCGCUCGACCCCACCCCUCCUCUAUUUCCUGUCGGGAGGAGGAAGAAGAAGAUGGGAGCAGGGAGUGGAUAAAGUGGGUCCCGCUUGUCAUCCCCUGCCCGUUGACCCAGCCACCUCUGCCCACGUGGCAAGUGGAGACGGUUUUCCCAGAAUUAGUCCCUGAUCUUCUACACCUCAUAACUCUGCAACCAUAACUCCGAUUGAGGUGAAACCAGCGCUCACUUCUUCGUCUCAUCGAGCUCUAUAUUUUGAUAAUAUUUCACUAGGUGGUCUCACCGUGAAAAUGACCAUUAUGCCCUUGCCUCUAAUCACCCCCCUCCGAGAAAGAACCGCCCGGCGUUUCGUUUCGCGGCUUCACCACACUUCUUCUCGGAGUCUCCGUCACCCCCAGGCAAGCCACAGUACCCACUAACAUGAUAGUCAUGCAGUAGCCAUGGUUUUCAACUUGAAUAUUUAUUAAAUGUUUGCUUGUUUAAAAUAUGGUUAUCGUUGUUUCGGUAAUGCUUCUGGGUCAGUGCUUACUUUCUUGCUAUGUUGUUAUGCACUUGGUUAUCAUGCCCUGCUAGUUCCUAGUAUUCCUUUCAUAUUCUUAUGCUUGCUAGUAGUACAUGUUGAUGUUGCUGAUGGUCUUCGGUGCAUGACUCCCGUCUGUCCCGAGUACCGUUGUUAUGCAUGUUCCAUUGCAUCCAGUUGGUUAAAUGCUUGCAUGAUGACAUUGUUGAUAUGUUCUUGCAUGAUAUUUAUUGUUGAUGCUAGUGGUCAUGCUAUGUUCCUGAGAAGUGUGUACUUGUGGUGUUCAUGCUAAUCAGUAUGCCAUGCUCAGUUGGAUAUGAUUCGUUGUUGAUAUGGUUAAUAGUUAUGUUGCACCUCCAUGCUUAUGCUGAUAUCAUGUUCAUGCAUUGUAAUUUUCAUCAUGUUAUUUUAUCACGGAUCAGCAUAUUUGCAUUCAAGUUUAACCGGAUUAAAUUGAACUUGAACAACUGUUGGCUGAGUCAUGGUGCCACCAUAUCGAGCUGACAAGUGCAACCACACUUGCCUUUAUGGGGAGGUCCUAACUGGGUCUAUUGUCGUGCCUCUCGCCGAUGCCUCCAACGAGGGAAGGUUAUGGGCGUGCGGUACCCUAGCCCGGUAAGCAGACAUAACCUUGUGUGCCCGUUGUUGUUAUAUCCGGAUUGUCCCCGUUUGGGACCGUUUUGCCACGACGGUGGCCGUUGGUGCCUUUGGUAGGCACGGGUCCACCCAUGACCUGGCCCAGAGGGGAGUUGGUCGGAGUGGCCGGGAGAGUGUCAUGGCAGUAGAUCGGUUUUGUCGGAAUGUUGUUGGUCCACCCAAAUGGGAGCGAGAGGCCAUGGUUUCCGUGGUGUGGGUAUAGUGUACUAACCUCUGCAGAGUGUAUAUUAAAUCUAUCGAUUGCUGUGCCCGCAGAUAAGGGCCCAGUUCGUGUCGGUCACACUAUGGCUCAACAAUUAUAAUAAUAACUUGCUUAAUUACAACCCCGGUUCGAUGAUGAGAUAAGUUGGUGUUGUGAUCCAUGAAUGAUCACCGUUUGGUUACGAGGUAACUCGUUGAGCCCAGAGUGGUUCCAUUCGUGAUCCGUGAAUGAUGACCGUGGUAUCGAGGAUACCAAGUUGAUAAGUAUUCGUGAUGUUGUGCGAGAAUCGUGGGUAAAGAUCAAGCUCCUUGUGGUCAUUUAAUGAUUACUACGGUAUUGUUUAUACCAAGCUUGAUUUGAUCCUGAGAUCAUCGUGUAAUGUCCGAGGUGGGUAAGUGAUGCAUGUGAUGGUUACGAGGUAACCUGAACAGAAUAAGUGGUGCAUAUAGUGUCAUCAUGCACUACUAGGGAAAACCUUAUACACAGAAAUUUAGCAACAGCGCGGGUUAAAAAAGGGUGCUAGUGCUAGAUAGCAGUAGUGGUUCAGAAUAAACCGCGCUACAGAUACGAUUCUAGCAGUAGCAUGUGUGCCCGUAAAAGCGCUACUACUAAUAUUCCCAUUGCUGGAACGAUGGGCUACGCAUAGCAGUAGCGGCCUUGCAGGAAGCGCGCUACCGCUAGGGCAUGAGUAGCAGCGCGUUUCCCUGUAACAAAGCUACUGCUAAUGGAAAUAAAAUAAAAUGAAAAACAAAUAGAAAAGUAAAUGAAAUUGAAAGAAACAGAAAAAGGAGAAAGAAAAAAAAUAAAAUGUAAAGCAAAAUAAAUGAAAAAGCGAAAAAAUAGAGAAAGGCUUAGCUAUAGCGUGUGUUAGUAAGAGGCGCUGUAGCUAACGCAGCUGCAGCGGUUUCCAGGACCCCUGCUAUAGAAACAGAAAAGGAAAUAAAAGAGAAAGAAAAUUACAUAUGUAUAGAAGUAGCGCGUUUUGGAAAAAGCGCUAUAGCUACCUUAGCUAUAGCGCGUUCUCCGAAACGCGCUACCGCUAGUUUUGACUUAACCAAAAAACCGUCCCCCCCCCGCCACCACUUGCCCCCCAAAUCUCUUGACCCACCCCGCCGCCGUCUCCCCGGUUCGCCGUCGCCCCACUUCGCCGCCGUCUCCUGCCGACGUCGACGCCCCCGGAGCCACCAGAGCCGUGCCCCGUCGACGCCACCGGAGCCGCCCCCAACGCCACAGAGCCGCGCGGCCUCAUCAAUGCCACCGGAGCCGUCGCCCACGCCACCGGAUCCUCCCUCGCCACAACUGCCUCCCUCGCCGUCAUUGGAGAUGCCCCUGCCUCCCUCGCCACCACCGGAGCCAUCCUCUUUAAAGCAAUUUUUCUCGCAUCGACGUGGACGAUGCCUAUCCUGCAUCCUCUUCGUCGAGUC